rnacentral:lncRNA from 1 species
GAAUUCCUUCCAAAAAUCCCUAGAGGAUCUGAUUCAGCUGUCAAAUUUCAAGUUAAAUUCUACCUAGAUUUUAGUUCUUUAUAAGAAAACCCAAAAAAAUCAACAAAAAGCUCUUAAAAAAAAGGUACUGUUUCAUUGACCAAUUCAAGUUAGUUUUAGUUAGUUGUUGAUUUCUACCCUCAUAGUUCAGUGUUAGGAUCCUGAAAUUUCAGAGGUUCACUUUGGGUUUGCUGAAACAUCUGGGUGCAUUUCGAGUUUGUUUGAGUACAUUUCGAGUUUGUUAUUGUUGCUGGUGUUUGUGGAGAUCCCUGGCCAUUUUGAGUUCAAUUUACCCUUAUAUUGGUUGCUUGAUUGACUGUUGCGAGUCGUUUGAUAUUUCUGUUGUUACAAUUUGUGUCCAACUGGUUAUUCUGGCUAUUUCCUGGGCUAACUCCAUUGCUGCAACUUUGUUGUGCUGCUGUUGAUUCUUUCCUGUCCCGUUUCUUUUGCAAAUUCCAGGUAUACGUCGAGCCUUUGAUGUAUCAUUCUAUGUUAAAAGUGAAAUAAAAAUGAAGAUUUAUCUCUGCUAUGGUUCAACCAUCCUGAUAGCUUGAUUUUACAUUAGAAUUUUUUUGUUGCUUUGAGUUAUUAAAUACUAUGAUUAGAAACUGGAAAUGUAAAUGAACAUAGACUGUAUUUAGGACUUCUGGAAAUUGCUUGGACCGUUUGAUGUGUUUUUGUUGGACUGUGACUCUAUUGUUUUGAUUCAUAUUAGAUUGUCAAUUAGUUUCAGAUUAAUUAGAUCAUUUUAAUUUAGCUUGGGUUGGGGAAGUAAUAUUGGGCAGUCACGAAAACUGGAUUGACAUUGAGUUAAAUUGGUGGUUUUUUUAUUCAUGAAUAUAAACUGAAGCUUCAAGUAUUCAGUAUAGUAUAAUUAAUCUAGCUUAUUUCCUCAUUGGUCCCUCAAUUAGAAGUGUAAAUUAAUUCGAAUAGAAAAGAAUCGAAAUAGCUGCUGCACUAAAUUGAUUGAUCUACGAGUUAAAGGAAGACGCCUGAGGUGCAAACUUGAGCUGGAAUUUUUGUGUGGGCAUGGGUUCUAACCCAGAUCCCUUUGCCCAUGUAGGCCUUCCAUUGAGGCAGCUCCAUUCAGGCUGGUCACACGCCCAUUCGCUGCAGAAUCAUGUGGCUCAUAAAUUGGGCACGUUUUAGAGAUUGUUCAAUUCAAGAUUUAACAACAAUAUAAAUUUGGGUUUUGAGUUAGGUAGCAGGUCCAAAUUGAAAGGUCCUUCCUUUUGUUUGGCCCCAGACUUGAGCUUGAAGCCCGAGUUCUAAUAUUAAUUAAUUAGGAUAUUUUCUUUUCUCUUAGAGACAAAAAUAAAUAGAGAAUCAUAGUUGAUUUUAGGCUUGUUCUUUUAAAAUAAAAUGAGACGAGACUCGCCCAAUAAAAUACAAAAAUUAUGGGCCCUCAAUAAAUGGUUGAUUAAAAAUACUUAGAAGAUCGGGAAGGGCCAUUUAGCGAAUUUCACGGCCCUCCCAAAAUAUAAUAACGCAUUAGCCACUUUAGGCACGAUUCUAAAUAAAAUUACAUUCUUAAGCUCGCGUGUGCAUUUCAUGCGACCCAAAUCAAAUCCCAAAAUGUUGAAUAGAGAAUGCUUAGAAUUGCAGGUGCAUUUUAUGUGACAUGAUCCAAAGGCACGCUUUAAACGAUGUUCAACUUUCUUUUAAAAAUACAUAUUGAAUAAAAGCGGUUAAAAAGUAAAAUUGGCACAUAGGUUCAUCAUGUAACAAAGUUAGAUAAAUAAGCUAAAUGCGACAGACCGUGCUAGAACCACGGAACCUGGGAAUGCCUAACACCUUCUCCCGUGCUAACAUAAUUCAUUAUCCGGAAUUUUUGUUUUCGGACUGUCAACAAAGUCAUUAUUUCCUCGGUUCGGGAUUUGAUCGAUGACUUGGGACACCAUUAAUCUCCCAAGUGGCGACUCUGAACUUUAAUAAUGUAAUCCCAUUCCGAUUGUCCUUUAAUUGAAAAAACUCAUUUAUGCCCUCCCGGGGUGUAGGUAAAAAGGAGGUGUGACAUCCCCAUUGGUGAGUUAAAUUGGUUAUGUGCUCCUAUUUGUGGGGGCUACGUAUGUACGAGGUGACGAGAGUCCGUUCGUAACUACUAUUAUGCUAUUGUCUGGGUAGUUAGAACCCCAAAAGCAUGCUAUACUGGGAAUAUAUGUGAUCCUAUUGACAUUUAAAUUUCUUAAAUCGCAUUGAAUUAAUAAAUAGAUUUCCAAAAAGAUAAAAGAAUCGUUUCCUUAAAUUAUUAAAGAGAAUUGGCCUUCCUUGGAAAAUUACUCCAUAUUGACUUCUUGACUGAUUGUGUGUCUGUGUGUGUUUAUUUUUGUAACGGGCCAAACGCCUCACAUAUUAAAUAGAUGGAUCUAUAGACGCUCCAUCGACCCUCGGCAAGUGCAGAUUUAUUUCUGUUGGAUCGGGUCGUCGCCUCGGUAUUAUUUGUGCAUGCGUGUAUUGCUGCCUUGAACUUAUUAAGUUGUUACUGCUCCCUCCUGGCUCAAGAUUAAUUUGUUAAUAAUGAAAAGGAAUUUUGGAAACUUCGUAUGAAAGAAUCAUCUGUUUAAUAUAUAUAUAUAUAUAUAUAUAUAUAUAUAUAUAUAUAUCAAGGAUAAAUCAUUAUUGGACAAUUAUUGAGUGUCAAAGUUGACCAUCUUGCCUCUACUUCUUCGAGAUUAGGCGGGAUGCUCAUCGGGUAAACGUUAUUUUCGUACUCAUACCACACUUGCUGUGCAUUUUUGUUGCACAAGAUUAUUGUGUGGCUCGUGGCUUAGCGUCAUAGCGGCAUGACGGGCGCAGAGACUAGGUGAGAUGUAUUUCCACGAGGCGAUUCCGCAGCUAGUAUAGCCUUUCUUUAUUUUUUGUCCAAUUGUAUUCCGGAUAGUUAUUGUACUUAUUGAUUUCUCUUAGAAAAUGCUCAUGUACUUGUAACACCGGGUGCUGUGAUGUAUUGGGUUUAUUCAGAAAUUUAGGAAGUUGAUUAAAUAUUUCAUUAUGUAUUUGGAGGAAUAUACCGAGAAUUUCUUUAAUCAUAAGAAAGAAGUAUUUUCGAGAUUAUUAAAAUAAGAAUUUAAUUAAGUAUUUUAGUUGGCUGGCCUGACAACGAUGUCCGGCGCCACCACGACCCUUAGUGGAUUUUGGGUCGUGACACUGAUGCUGAAGUCAUGGGCUGUUGCCCCUACUGUACUGCCUUGCCCCUAAGCCUGGGGCAGUAUCUCCUCAUGUAGCCCGAGUCCCCGCACUCGAAACAACGUGGUGAGGCGACAUGCUAUCCGGAUGGCUGACUAUGAAUACUAGAAGAUCCACUAGAAGAAGCCUGAAUAGCUGGUGGGCGGUAUGAACUCUCCGACAUAAUACUGAAAUAAGAACUGAAAAAAUAUGGAGGACCGAGAUAGCCACUAGAUGAACCCUGAAUAGCUGGUGGGAGAUAAGAAAUCUCUGGCAUGGCGCUGAAAUAGGAGCGUGCUGGAGCACCCCGAGCAGGUGGUGAUGCUGAAAUUGGGGGACUACUGAGUUGGCCCCUCCUAAACUGACCUCUACCCCUAUCUGGGGCGCCUAUGAACUCUCCGGAGAAUCUGGCCCUCUUAUCCUGCUGCAUCUGCUCUCUACCCCUCAGACGGUAACCCUCAAUCCUGCGAGCAAUCUCAAGUACUCGCUGAUACUCAGUGCCCAUCUCUGCCUCUCGGGCCAUAACUGACCAGAUAGUGGGGUGUAACCCCGUAACGAAUCUCCAUACUCUCUUUGCCUAUGGGAAGUAUCAUAAGUGCAUAUCAAGAAAACUUAGAGAACCUCGCCUUAUAGUCGGUCACUGACAUCUGACCCUGCUCUAGAUGCUCAAACUGAUGAUGCAGCUCUUCCCUCUCAGAGGGUGGAAUGUACCGAUCAAGGAAUAACUGAGUGAACUGACCCCAAGUGAGGGAAGGAGCACCUGCUGGCGUGCUGAGUGCAUAAGACUGCCACCAUCUACGGGCCCUGCCCUCUAGCUAAAAAGUAGUGAAGUCAACUCCAUACAACUCCAAUAUCCUCAUGUUUUGCAUUCUGUCCAUGCACAUGUCAAUGAAGUAUUGGGCAUCCUCAUGACGCCCCCCAGAAUACUGGAGGGUGUAGCCUGGUCCAUCUAUCCAAUAUUUUCUGCGGAUCGCCAUCCGCAGUUGGCCUGGGCUGUGGUGCCACUGCAGCAACUGGAUGAGCCCCAUCUACGGGUAGUGAGUACGGGUCUGGGCUCCCCCUCCUGCCUGUGAAACAGCUGGGUCUGCUAGAAAUAAACCAGCCUGAGUCAUAGUGUCCAUGAAUCGUAGCAUGUGGCCCAUGACCUCCUGAAAUCCCGGCGGUGUCAUGAAAUCCACCGGAGUAGGCUCAGCUGCGGGCACCUCGCCCUUCUCCUCAAUAAUAGGAUCCCUCGCAGGAGCUAUUUGUGGUGCAUAUAGAACGGCUCUAGGAUGCCCUCAUCCCCUACCAAGGGCCGGUGCCCUCCCCCCGCCUCUACCUUGGCCUAUAACAAUAGGGGGAGCAGCUCCUCUCGGGUCCGGAACGUGCUGGUGGUGCAUCCGGAACGGAUUUGGAUGCCCUCGUCCCCUACCACGGGCCUGUGCCCUCCCCCGACCUCUAGCAAUGGGGGGAGCAGCUCCUCCCGAGUCCGGAAUGUCAGCGGUACGAGUCCUCACCAUUUGUGAGAGAAUAUAAGAGGGAAAUUUAGUACACUGACAAGUGCACGAUGAAAAUGAAUAAACAGUAGUCUUUCCUAAUACUCUAUAACCUCUCGAAGAUAAAUACAUACGUCUCCAUACUGAUCUAUAAUACUCUAUUAGGUUUGCCCAUAACUUGUGAGACCUACGUGAACUUAGUGCUCUGAUACCAUGUUGUCACGGCCCAUUUUCCAUAAUUGGUCAUGAUGGCGCCAAACACCAUUGUCAGGCCAGCCAAUGCGAAAAUAUAGCUAAGUUCUAUUUUCUUUUUCUUUUACCAAAAAUAAGUAUAACAGUUUCUCAAAUUAAGGUUAAGGCUAAGCAUAUUAAUUAAUUGCUAAAAAGAAAUCACAAGAAUCUACCGUAAAGUUAAAGCUAAAGUGCCAAAAAUGGCUACAAUAUUCGAGUCUCAUGGGCUCAAUUGCUUCACAAAAUCAAAGUUAACCUAAAAAUGGUAAAAUGUUCUAUUUAUAAUGGCCUGGAAAAACUGGAAAAAAUGCCACUGCGGGGUUAAUGCGGGCCACAUAAAUACAAUCGUGGCAGCACUGGCUUUUCAAAAUUCUAUUGCUUCCUUCUCUGAAGUGACUGGCACAGACCGCAUAAUGAUGUGGCACGACCGAUGAGGGUCUGGCUCAGACCGCGCAAGCAGGGGCGCGGCUGCGUGGCUGGACUUGUCCAAAACUACACAUCCUCUAAACUUUGUGGCGCGGAUCGCGUGGCAAUACGGAGCGGCCGUGUGAGAUUGAAGCGGGCUGCGUAGAGUCUACCGCGGCCGCGUGGUUUCAGUCUCAAUUUUAGCCCUCUGCUGAACUCUUUGGUGCGGCCACAUGCACAGUUGUAGUCCGCACCAAGCUUUGAUUUCCAUCACUUCAUUAGUCUUUUUACACUUGAGUAGGUUUCACUCCAUUUUGAGCCAAAUUUUGACGUUUUGUCACUUUGUUGCUCAUACCUGCAAUCAAGCACAACCUGUAAGCAUUUUGGGACUAUUUUGUAGCAAAUUAUACUCAAAGUGUCGCUCAAACAUACAGUCAAGCACAAUCUAUUAGCAAUUUGGGACUAUUUUGUAACAAAUUAUACUCAAAGCAUAGGCAAGUAUAGGCAUAAAACAUGUUAAAAUCCUAGUUAUCAACUCCCCCAAACUUAAACCUUUGCUUGUCCUCAAGCAAAUAAAAUAAUACCUACCCCUCAAGAGAAACAUCCAAGAAAUUCUAGUUUAUCCUAAAGUAACCUCAACAAGCAUCAAUUGGGACUAGCAAUUCCCCUCAAUACGAAUGCAUCAUUAACAUAUUUUAAUCUUUGAAAACUUUUGGAUUAAGUGUGACACAAGAGCAUCAAGAGUUGACACAUUUAAUCAAGGAACUUCUCUCAAUUACUUUGGUCAUUGUGGAACCCAAACUCACACAUCCUCAACUCUCCCUAAGCGAACCUCACCUUUUAGAGUAUUGUCACACAAACCGAGGUUGAUGGACUUUCACUAAUCUCUCACAAGAAGAAGGUCACAAGUCCGCCUCUAAGUACCAUAUGCUUGCCCUUUAUGUAAGUAUCCGUUAAUGUAGGUUCCAUUCAACUCAAGAUCAUAUAGGACUUUUGUGGAGUCAUUGUGAAGGCUUUUGGGUAAGGGUAGGAUAUGCUUUUGUUCAAAUGGGUUCAAUCUUCCCUAAAGAAAUUCUUUUGUUUUAUUUUGGCAUACUUUCUUGACUCAUUAGAGUAUUCACUUCUUUUUCAAGGGGCUAGAGAGACACACUGUGACUCUUUCUUAUGCAAUUAAACUCAUUUCUCCUUUUUCUACUUUUUCACACCAUUUUUCACUUUUGUUUUCUUUGAAUCCCUUUUUGGUUCUGAUUCACAUUGAUCUUUCUUUUUGUCUUGUCUUUUCUUUCUUUUUCAUUACCUUCCUUUUCUUUUGCUUUUGCAUCUUUUUACCACAUUAUUUCCUUUCUUGUCUCUCCCCCCAAACUUAGACAUUUGCCAUUUACUCAAGGGAAGAUUUGGGUGCCAAGAGAAGGUAUCAUUAAGAACGGGUAUAGGCUUGUAGCAUUAGUUCUUGAAAGAAGAAGGUUUUAGGCUCAAAAGGAUUAACCAGGGAAUCAUUUCAUUGGUAGGUUGUAGAAUGGUUCAACUUAGCAUUUUGGAUCAAGGAGAACCUAUAAUCACUUCUCAAGUCAAAUUUCACCUAGGAUUUCACCUCAACAAACAUUCAGGGCAAAAGAAGAAGGUUUAAGGCUCAAAAGGGUUGACUAGGUAUUAUUUCAUUGGUAGGUCAUGAAAUUGUUCAAUCUUAGCAUUUUGGAUCAAGGAGAGCCUAUAAUCACUUCUCAAGUCAAAUUUCACCUAGGGAUUUUGCCUCAACAAACAUUCGGGGCAAGUUCUAGACCAUCGGCUCGGGACUUGGACUCGCAAUUCGAAUUCUCACCACACACACUCAAGGGUUGCUAAAGACAUCGAGUCGAGGGCCCACAACGACCUCGGUUAUGAUUCAAGCGCACAAUGCUCCAACACGACAACAUGAUGAUUGUUUGGUCAAAACAAGAGUCUCAAGGCCACGAAUUUCACCAUCCUAAACACAACAUUAUGUCUUUGAACAUGGGAUCAAAGGCAAAUGUGUUAUGUCCGUGUGAAGCUUUGCAUGAGGUACCCUUAAUUAGGAAAUAUAAGAAAUCAAUAGAAGAAAAUAAAAAACGAAUUUAAACCCUUAAGAAGGUUGUCACGCCAUCUAUCAUUGGAAGGAGCCACCCGGUUCGCACAACACUUUACCUUUGGAAAGAACCAUCGUAUUAAGAAAACCAGGGGCUUAUUGAAAAUUCCAAAACCAAAACAAAAGGCAACGAUCCUAACUACGAAGCUAAAAACAAAGUUUUUUAACGAAACUAGAAAAACCGAAUGAAAAUAUACAAUAGGGGAGUAGAAUAUACAAUGGGGGUUGAAUAUAUACAUAAAGUAAAAGUAGCCAAAAUUAUAUACAGACCAACUAUCAAAUCUAAAAACAUAAACUGAGUAUCAUCAAUAUAUACGGUCAUCCAAAUGUAUCAAAUAAAAACAUUAGGGCGUACCUCCACGAAUAAGAGCUGGCAUUGUCCCUAAUGCCAACAUAAAAUAAGCAUAAAAACAAAUAAAGGAUAUAAAGGGCUCCCUAAGCCUGGUCCGUCUGCAUCGGAUCCUCAGUGGUCCCAUGGUCCUUUGUAUGGGCAGAAACCUCAGACUGGUUCCCAGCCUGCUACUGCUCUGCUGCUGGGACAUGGACCUGAUGCUGGGGUGGUGGAACAUCUGGUACAUCACCGAAGGGAGUCACCUGAAUCUCAGUUAACUCAAUCACGACUCCCUUAGUGUUGGGCAGCUUCCUUUUCUUCCUCGGAGGCCUGGGUGUCUGCUCUUGUUUUGGAUCAGGUACUGAUGCUGCUGCUGAAGGGGCUGACUCCCCCCAAAAACAAGCAUAACGCCAGCUGAUCCGCCAUUAUCUUGUCCACAUCUGCUCAUAGUACCUUUACCGACUCCUUUGAUGCCCUGGACUUCCUCAUCUUCUUACCCACACUAGGGUUGAGCCACAACCCUAGCUAAUGGAUUUAGUUAGACAUAAUUAAAGAAGAAAUAAAAGAAAUAGAUGAAGAACUAAGCAUAUUAAUUAAUUGCUAAGAAGAAAUCACAAGAAUCUAACGUAAAGUUAAAGAUAAAGUGCCAAAAAUGGCUACAAUAUUCGAGUCUCACGAGCUCAGCUACUUCAGAACAUCAAACUUAACCUAAAAAUGGUAAAAUAUUCUAUUUAUAGUGGGCUGGAAAAACUGGAUAAAAAUGCCCCUACGAGGUCAGCGCGGGCCGCAAAAACAUGAUCGCAACCGUACUGGCUGUUUAACUUCCAUUGAUUUCUUCUCUGAAGUGACUGGCGCGGACCGCGUAAUGAUGUGGCGUGACUGUAUGAGGGUCUAGCGCGGACCCCACAAGCAGGGGCGCAACCGCGUGGCUGGACUUGUCCAAAACUACACAUCUUCUAAACUUUGUGGCGCGGACCGCAUGGCAAGAUGGUGCGGCCGUGUGAGAUGGAUGUGGUCCGCGUAGAGUCUACCGUGGCCGCGUGGUUCCAGUCUCAAUUUUAGCCCUCUCUGAACUCUUUGGUACGAUCGCAUGCACAGUUUGUGCGGUCCGCACCAAGCUUUGAUUUCAAUCACUUCAUUGGUCUUUUGAUACUUGAGCAGGUUUCACUCUGUUUUGAGCCAAUCUUUGAUAUUUUUCACUUUGUCACUCAAACCUACAAUUAAGUACAACAUGUAAGUAUUUCGGGACUAUUUUGUAGCAAAUUAUACUCAAAGCAUAGGCAGGUAUGGGCAGAUCAUGACAUAUGAGAAUAUUGUGCACUAGUGAUCUAUCUUCCACAAAUGUUUCUUGAUUAUCUGCAACUAGAGGAGUAAUUUAUUUCCUCAACCAUGCAUAGUAACUUGAAUAUACACUUGUAUAGCACAUUACAACAUGUUAUGGGUAUGAACUUGACAACUUUCUGAGACAUAUCAACUUUAGGGAUCAAUCUGAUCAUUGUAGCAUUCAAUUGCUUCUGUAGCUCCCCAUAGUCAAAGAAUUCUAAGAUUGCCAAUGUAAUAUAAUCUCGCAUAAUGCACCAUACAGCUUUGAAGAAGUCACCAGUGUAAUCAUCUAGACCUGGACUUUUGUUGCUCCCUAUGCUAAACAAAACAUUCUUAACUUCCUUCCUACCGAAAAGCUUCACCAACUCCAAUUGUUGUGCCACUGUUAAUAUGUGCGGCCGUUGAGGAGAAAGCUUCUGAAUGCUCUGGUCCUAUGAUCUUUUUUCCUCCAUUAGUUAUAUAUAUAAAUCUACUAGAACUGCUGCUAUAGCUUUAGGAUCAGUUUGUAGUACUCCUUCCUUGUCCAUCAAAUAAGUAAUUGCUUGCUACAGUCUCUUGUGCUUGAUAAUAGAGUAGAAGUUUCUUGUAUUAUCAUCACCUAGACUGAACCAUGUUGCUUUACUUCUUUGUUGCAAAAAUAUUUCAGCCAUAUAGGAAAACCUUAUUAAUUUAUGAUACUUAUCCUUUUCAAUCGAUUGUAGGUUUGGAUCUCCUGGCAUCACUUGCAUAUAUGUUUGUACUUGUCCUGAAGCUUCUCUGUAAUAAUUUACUUCAUUUAUAAUACUGCUAUGUUGGUACUUAUUAAGCAUUUUCAGUUUCAGCUUAAGGCCUUUUAAUUUAUUGACAAUCUG